UGCGCGCUCAGUAGUCUAUCCCACUACCCAGUGGAAGGAGCACUGGAGUACGCGGGAGACAUCCACCCGACCACCCACCCACACACACACACACACACACACGGGCAUUCGCCAUCGCUGGGUGAGCGCUGGACAACACCACCAGUGGCGCACGCUUUUUUUUUCGUUCCUCCGUCGAGUUUCGGUCUUUUCUAUCCAUCAUGUGGCUCGGGGGUAGCAUGCGGCGCACUCUAGCGCUUUAUAAGCAAGGACGUUCACGAGAGCCGAACGUGGGUCGACUUCUCUACGGCAAACGCAAGAACCUUGUUCAUCAUACCAGCGAAGCCAAGCCCUCUGUUACGACUGUUUUAGCGCAGACCCCGACGGAGCGGCUGCCGGUGGCCUUGAAGCACGCCCUGCAGGUGAACGAGCUCCACCGGGAGCAGAUCGCCACUCUUCUCAAGCAACACCGCGCGCUGCGCCGGUUCGACCGCACCGAGGUGGUCGUUCAGGCGCUCCGCGAUGCCAAGCAGCCUCUCACAUCGCAGCACUACUGCGUCCUCAUGGCACAUGCGAAUGACGAGCGGCAAACACGCAAAGCGCUGCAAUUCUGGAAGGACGCCGUCUCGGAGGGUAAGGUGAAUGAACGCCUUCACGGCGCCCUCCUGUCGACCUACCGCAACGCCGGUAACUGGAGGGCGGCAAUGCGGCACUGCGAAAGCAUGUGGCGCGAUCAGCAGGUGCUGGACCCGCUUGCUACCCACGCUGUCAUGAACGCGUGCCGCCGCUACGGGCCCUGGCAGAUGGGCCUAAAGGUCUUCUCGGACGCCGUCCAGCACGGCACGAAGCCGAACGGCGUCGUCUACCUCGAGCUCCUUCGCCUCAUCGCACAAAGCAAGAUGCCGGCGCGGUGGUCGUACGGUCUGGCGAUUCUGCGCGCACUGGAGGCAAGCGUGGAGGUGACGGCGGGGCACUACAACGCGGUGCUCGCCACCAUGGGAGGCCGUAACUGGGAGAAGGGUAUUGAACUGUUCCACUCCAUGCAGGACCACAACGUGCAACCCAGCACCGAGACUCUCAACACACUGCAGCAGCUUCAUCCGCACAGCGUGGCCCACUGCAUCCGCUGCGUCGCUGAGGCGCACGCGCUCGGCAUGCCAAUAACCGACACCAUGUACCGCAACGUGCUGCUGAACUUGUUCCGAAUGCAGCUGAACCACGAGGCGACCCAGUUCGCGGAGCGCGAGUACAAGCUGGACUGUGUCGAUGCCGGCAACCCACUGACCCACACACUUUCCCUGAGUGUCGCCAUGGUGGAUGCGCUGCUCUCCCAUCCCCGUCCCCACGACGCCCUGCUCGUGUACGAGUCCUUCCAGGAUAAGAUUGGCGACGUUGUGGCAGCUGCGACGCGGCAGCUCGGAACCAGCGGCUCGCUGGAGCAGCGCUGGCUCGUGCAAGGGCGGGUGGCUGUGGUCGACCACAACGUCCUGCUCUCGACGACUUUCGAGUCCCUUAUCCACCACUACGACUCGGUGUUUGUUCCGUUUGCGUCCGUGCGCCUGCUGGUGCGGCGCGCCCGCGAGAAUGGAAACUCAGUGCAAGGGCUCCACAUAAAGACGACGCUGCGUCGCCUGGGACUCCUGCUAAAACGGGAGGAGUGGCGCAUGCUGCGUGUGCUUCCCUAUGCGCACCAGCUUCUUUCACACACGUACCUCUCCGAAGGCGGGCCAGCCAGUCCUGAGGCGCUGAAGGCGCUGCGUGAAGAGGCGGAGACGCAGAGCCUGCUGCCCGAAAGCCCUCCAACUCCGACAACAGUGGCGAAGGCCGUUUCCGCGUAUGGCCAAGCGCUGCUGAGGCGUCUCACACCUGUUGGAGAAGCCGCUGAGGUCGCCGGCGCCGUGAGAGCCGAUCAGAGUGGAGAACGCGGCACAGAGGACGCCGCGAAGAACCUCGUGAUACGCGAAGCAGAUAGAGGUGCUGCCGACAUAGGUGCUUCCUCGCUCGUCUCUUCGAAGGCGUUGCCCGCCGCGGCCGCAGCCUUCCCGAUGGUGCUGCACUCUCCCCGCCGCAUCACCUCCGUGGAGCGCGUGACAGCGGUGGCCGCCAUGCUCAAGUCUCUCAACCCCGAUGCGGAGGUGCACGUGCUUUCCACAAACGCAUCGCAGCUUGCAGCGGUGCGCCAUUGGAAUGCAGUGCGCGUCAGCGUUCUGCUUGUCCCGGUGCACUACCCCGAUCAACUCAGACAGAUGGCGCCGCCUGCAUUGCCGAUCAGCGAGGGCGCCGUUGCCGCUGCGGUGGGUGCACCCGGUGCCAGAGGACCAAAAUCACGACUGUAAGCGUGAGGUGCCUUCCACUCACCCCGCACGCGCUCGUAACAUAACAGGCCAGCUUUCCACAGUCGUGUGGACGUUGGUCGAAGGAGGCGCGUGGCCCGCGCCGUCGAAAAUGGUUUUUUGUUUUCAUUCACAUAUACGCGCAGAACCUGUUUACACGAACGGGGUGCACAUCCACAAAAAAAAAAAACAGCACGAGGAACUUCGCGAGAGCCACACGCUCAUGGGCGAAACGAAGAAGGCGAGAUACACGUGCGCAUACGUCCGGCACUACUCCGAGUGCGCGAAACACCACCUGUCUCUCUGAACUGGUUCCCGUCAACGCGACGACCAGAGUUUCAUUUCCCUACCCCCUCCCGUCUAGGGCUCUUCGUCGUCCGCAGCCCUCUCCGCCCACCCCCGAUCUGUGCCUAGGGAUGCGGCGAGGUGAACGACAAAAUCUCGCCGCUACGCCAAUCCCCUCCCUCCUCCUCUCUGCGAGAAG
rnacentral:misc_RNA from 1 species